rnacentral:rRNA from 1 species
UACGUAGGGCGCAAGCGUUAUCCGGAAUUAUUGGGCGUAAAGAGCUCGUAGGCGGUUUGUCGCGUCUGCCGUGAAAGUCCGGGGCUCAACUCCCGGAUCUGCGGUGGGUACGGGCAGACUAGAGUGAUGGUAGGGGAGACUGGAAUUCCUGGUGUAGCGGUGAAAUGCGCAGAGUAUCAGAAGGAACACCAGGUGGCGGAAGGCGGCUAAUCUGGCCCAAUACUGACACUGAGGUGCGAAAGCGUGGGAGUCAAACCAGG